rnacentral:rRNA from 1 species
UAGCGGCAGGCUUAAUACAUGCAAGUCGUGGGGCAGCAGGUUUGUAGCAAUACAGAUGCUGGCGACCGGCAAACGGGUGCGGAACACGUACAGAACCUUCCUUUGAGCGGGGAAUAGCCCAGAGAAAUUUGGAUUAAUACCCCAUAGUAUAAUGAAGUGGCAUCACUUUAUUAUUAAAGAUUUAUCACUCGAAGAUGGCUGUGCGGCUGAUUAGGUAGUUGGCGGGGUAAAGGCCCACCAAGCCUGCGAUCAGUAACUGGUGUGAGAGCACGACCAGUCACACGGGCACUGAGACACGGGCCCGACUCCUACGGGAGGCAGCAGUAAGGAAUAUUGGUCAAUGGAGGCAACUCUGAACCAGCCAUGCCGCGUGGAGGAUGAAGGUCCUCUGGAUUGUAAACUUCUUUUAUAUGGGACGAAAAAGGCUUUUCUAAGUCGUCUGACGGUACCAUAUGAAUAAGCACCGGCUAACUCCGUG